UACGAAGGGGGGCUAGCGUUGCUCGGAAUCACUGGGCGUAAAGCGCACGUAGGCGGACUCUUAAGUCGGUGGUGAAAUCCUGGAGCUCAACUCCAGAACUGCCUUCGAUACUGAGAGUCUCGAGUCCGGGAGAGGUGAGUGGAACUGCGAGUGUAGAGGUGAAAUUCGUAGAUAUUCGCAAGAACACCAGUGGCGAAGGCGGCUCACUGGCCCGGUACUGACGCUGAGGUGCGAAAGCGUGGGGAGCAAACAGG
rnacentral:rRNA from 1 species